AAGUGGUGCUUUGGGUGACAUUCCAAAGGGUUCAAAAUUGUUCAGAAACUUCCUACAGAAAGUAAAGCCUAAUGUCCUUUCUCCCUGCAUGUGGGCUGGACUUAGCGACUCACUCCUAGCACACAGAAUUAAGUAUAAAUGAUGGGGUGUGACUUCACAGUUUCUAUAGUUUGAAUCUCGAAUGUCCCCUAAAGCCUGAGUGUUGAGGGCUUGGUUGCCAACCUGUGGUGCUAACGGGGAGGUGGUGGAACCUUUAAGAGGCGAGGCCUUGUGGGAAGAAGUUAGGUCAUCAGGGCUGAGCUCCGGAAGGUGAUAUUGGAGACCCUGACCCUUCCUCCCUGGCCCUCUACCAAGCCACCAUGAGGUAAACAUUGCCUCCUCUAUCACAUACCUUCUGCCGUGAAGUUCUGCGUCGUCACAGACUCAAAACAGUGGAGUGAUCAUGGACUGGCACCUUUGAAAACGGAGCCAAAAGAAAAUUUCCUUCUUACAAACUGAUUAUCUCUGGUAUUUUUCACAGUUCUGAAAAGCCAACUAACACAAGAGGGACAGGACGUAAGUGACACAGCAUCCUCCCCCUACCCUCCUUUCUUCUGGGAGAAGCUGACUGCCUUGCUUUUAGGACACCCAGGCAACAUCAUGGAGAUACCUAUGAGGCAGGAAAGUGAGGCCUUCUUUCAAUAGCUACAUGAAUGAGCUGCUUUGGAAUUAGAUCUUCUAACUUCUUCCAAACCUUCAGGAGGCUGCAGCCCUUGUGGAUGCAUUGGCUACAAUCUCACAAGAAACCCUGAGUCAGCAGCAGCCUGCUAAGCCACUCCUGAACUCUUGACCCCUUGAUGCUGUGAGAUCAUAAGGAUUUGUUGUUUUAAGCUGUUGAACUUAGGAGAAUUUAUCAUACUGCAAUAGAGAAUUCAUACAUGCAGUACUCUCCAAAGUUAGGUCUCAAAAGGCUGUGAGUUUCUGCCAGAUUCCUCCCCUUGACUCUGGGCCAAAUUUGCACCCUUGAAUUUUAGGGACUAGCUUCUGAUCGGUACAGUCGUAGUGGUGCUUUAAUUUCUAAGGCUGAAUCAGAAAAAGACAUGUAGCUUCUGCUUAAAACUUUUGGGAAACUUAUGGUAGAAGUCAGGCACAUUUUAAGAUAUUUGAAUACCAAAGACCUCCAUGUAUAUGCUCUGGAUGCUGAACAUCCAGACAUUUGACAGCACAGGUAAGGACAUCCUUAAUGCUUUUUACCUGGCAGGUGGUUUUUAUUAGGCAGGUGAUUUUGGUGGGUGGGAAAGGGUUUAAAUAGCCAACUGCUUUUCUAAUUAAAACAUUUUUUGUUAAUAGAAAUUCAUGUUUAUUGGAAGAUUUGGAUGCUACAGAGAACAGUAUGAAAUGAAAGUGAGCAGCUUCCUCUGCCAAGUGCUCCCGCGAUGAUGUGUUGCCAUGCCACAGGCCCAAAGUCAUCAAGCGAAUUAUCCAUGAGCCGAAACCUCCAAAAUAUGCCACCUCUAAAUUGUGAUGCAGCCUAGAAGGUCCUCACCAAAGGCCUGAGCAAUGGGGCUGACCCUGGACUCUCAGCUUCCAAAACU